CUUCUCGCAUCUUCUCAUCCACCGGGGCCACCCCCACCUUCUCUCGAAUAACUUCAUUCUUAAUCUUAUCUAACCCGGUGAGCCCACACAUCCACCUGAGCAUCCUCAUCUCCGCAGCCUUCAUCCUCUGAACAUGAGAGUUCUUCACUGGCCAGCACUCCGUACAACAUGGCCGGUCUAACCACAGCUCUAUAAAAUUUCCCCUUGAGUUACUGUGGAACUUUCUUGUCACACAGGAUUUCUGAUGCAAGCCUCCACUUUGACCACCCCGCUCCUAUACGAUGAGUGACGUCCCCAUCAAUCUCUCCGUCCCCCUGAAUCACCGACCCAAGAUAAAAAUUUCCCCUUGUGUUUCUGUGGAACUUUCUUGUCACACAGGAUUUCUGAUGCAAGCCUCCACUUUGACCACCCCGCUCCUAUACGAUGAGUGACGUCCCCAUCAAUCUCUCCGUCCCCCUGAAUCACCGAC
rnacentral:lncRNA from 1 species